rnacentral:rRNA from 1 species
UACAGAGGGUGCAAGCGUUAAUCGGAAUUACUGGGCGUAAAGCGUGCGUAGACGGUUAUGUAAGUCAGGUGUGAAAGCCCCGGGCUCAACCUGGGAAUGGCAUUUGAGACUGCAUAGCUAGGGUGCGGAAGAGGGAAGCGGAAUUUCCGGUGUAGCGGUGAAAUGCGUAGAUAUCGGAAGGAACAUCAGUGGCGAAGGCGGCACUCUGGGCUGGUACUGACGCUCAGGAGCGAAAGCGUGGGUAGCGAACAGG